AGAGUUUGAUCAUGGCUCAGGACGAACGCUGGCGGCGUGCUUAACACAUGCAAGUCGAACGGAAAGGCUCCUUCGGGGGUGCUCGAGUGGCGAACGGGUGAGUAACACGUGGGUGAUCUGCCCUGCACUCUGGGAUAAGCCUGGGAAACUGGGUCUAAUACCGGAUAGGACCACGGCAUGCAUGUGCUGUGGUGGAAAGCUUUUUGCGGUGUGGGAUGGGCCCGCGGCCUAUCAGCUUGUUGGUGGGGUGAUGGCCUACCAAGGCUGCGACGGGUAGCCGGCCUGAGAGGGUGUCCGGCCACACUGGGACUGAGAUACGGCCCAGACUCCUACGGGAGGCAGCAGUGGGGAAUAUUGCACAAUGGGCGCAAGCCUGAUGCAGCGACGCCGCGUGGGGGAUGACGGCCUUCGGGUUGUAAACCUCUUUCACCAUCGACGAAGCCCUUUGGGGUGACGGUAGGUGGAGAAGAAGCACCGGCCAACUACGUGCCAGCAGCCGCGGUAAUACGUAGGGUGCGAGCGUUGUCCGGAAUUACUGGGCGUAAAGAGCUCGUAGGUGGUUUGUCGCGUUGUUCGUGAAAUGCCACAGCUUAACUGUGGGCGUGCGGGCGAUACGGGCAGACUGGAGUACUGCAGGGGAGACUGGAAUUCCUGGUGUAGCGGUGGAAUGCGCAGAUAUCAGGAGGAACACCGGUGGCGAAGGCGGGUCUCUGGGCAGUAACUGACGCUGAGGAGCGAAAGCGUGGGGAGCGAACAGGAUUAGAUACCCUAGUAGUCC
rnacentral:rRNA from 1 species